AGAGGCUACGAGCCGAAGAGGCCCGGCAAAUUGCCAUAGAAGAGGGCAACUACUAAUGGCUUUGCAUCUUCUGCAUCAUCCAGAGAAUGGAAAGUCAUUCUCGUUACUACUUUGUCACUGUGCUCGCCUAAGUUAUUUGUAGUAGUAUUAGUUGUGAUUUGUUUGUUAGCCGACCCAUUGUCAUGUUGGGCUAACCCCGAUCUUUGCAAUUAGCGUUGCGAGUCUAAAUUUCGCGUUAUCAAUUAGACUUGCGAAAAAGUACUGACUUUGGUUUGGAUUAGCGUUACGAUGGAGAGACGGUCGCGUUUGCUUUAGCGUUGCGAAUUAUAAGAUAUCGCGAUUGUUCUUGGUAUUUUCUACCGCGAAUAAUUAUUAGAAUUUGUCAAAGGGUAGAAUUUGAAUUUGUCGCGUGUUAUGUGAAUUAAAAUCACAUAAUAUAGAUGGUAAUUUUACAUUAAAUUCGUUUUAAGAUCUCUAGCGUUGCGUUAAUUAAUAAUCGCGUUCUUAUACGUAGUGUUGCGUCUUUCGAUCACCCGAUGCAGCUAAGAUACGUACGUGGCUGCACUUUGACAUCACGAUAUUAGCGUUGCGUGAAUAAUUAUAACACUCCACUACCGUCUAUACUUUCGCGGAUUUUUCAUCUUUUCUUUCUUCUCUUUUUUAUCUUUUUUUUCCUUUUUUUUUUUUUUUGUCAGUAGCAAAUUUGAUAAAUAACAUCGAAAACGCAUCGAAAGCACUCCUCGCGAUUUAUUUCGAGAAAUUUAUACCUUGCGGUUACGCACUUGAAAAAUUAGCGUUGCGAAAUAGAAAAAUGUCCCACUCACGGUUUGUUCGGGAUCCUAUCGAAUGGGUCGCCUUUCCGGCUAUCGGAUCUAUCUCUUUUUCAGCAUCCCCUUGAGCGUUUGUUAAUGGAAAUACCGUUGAACGGUAUAUCUGUUCGAUGCUGAUGAUUUAAUUUAAUUUAAUUCGUUGUUAUAGUACUUAAAGUUAUUAUAAAUGGUUUUAUUUCGUAAUUAUACGUAUAUUACAUUUGAGGAAAAGUGACAAGUGAUAUGGUAUAUCGGCAUGUUUGAAUUACUUAAAUUUAAUAUGAUAUAAAUAAUUUUCUAGCAAAUGAGAAAAAGGGCUUCUAGAAACAAGUUAAAUAGAUAGUCUUGCAGCGUGAAACUCGAUAUGUUCUUGUCUAGAUAGGUACUAGUGCGUAAGCAAACAGGGCAGAUCCCUAAUUUUUAUAGGUUUUUGUAUAUGCUAACGCCAAUUAAACUCAGCACUUGGCCGCAUGGUGCAGCACUAGUCCAGGAACAACCAGGUCCAUAAGCGUGCGCACACUCAUUUCCUCCCUUCUAGUAUCGGCCAGUACGGGCAGAAUCACAAAUCCUUCGUUAUUCGAUGUAUCGUUAUGGAAUUCCCGCUGGAUCGACACUCUCUUCAAAUGACGCACGAUUUAUGUACGCGUGUGGUUUAUACUAUCGUUCUACUCACAUAUGCUAGGCUGUAUACUAGCAAAGAGGGAAUUAGAGUGCUCGCGCGCGUCCUUGUGUUGUCCCCUAUACAAGUGCUGUACCAAACAGCCAAGUGUUGCAGUGGUUUAACCACAGACGAGUAUAUGCAUAAGAUAAAUCACAUAUAAUCCAAGUACGAUCGUAUUAAAUAGCUUUCGACGCUCGCUAGGGAAAACCGUUCGAAAAUUGAAUCGUCAAAAAUUAACAUGCAAGACAAUAAAGUUUUUCUUAUUCUGCUCAUGCAUAAUACGCACAUAUACACAGAUACUACUAGAUUAAUAAAUCAUAAUUUUUUAAAUUAGCUUUAUGUUAAACUAUAUUAAAUUUUAGCUAUCCUAAUUAAUUACAAUAAAUAACAAAUCCAAUUAUUGUCAAUUAAAUGUUCGAUUAGGUGGAAAGGUUUUAAAACUUUGUAUAACACAGAUAUGAAAUUAUUUGAGGCAAAAGCACUAGUGUGCCUAAGUCUAUGUGUGAAGCAUAUGAAUCUGAGCAAUUUCGCUGAAAUGUGAGCCCGAUUAGCUAAGCUACGCGAGUAUGUUACGGCUUUUAUUCGUACAAAAAAAAUGUUAGUACUUAUCGGAAGUUUAUAUUUAUUUUAUUUGUAUAGCUGUUUAGUAGAUCUGUGUGUAUAGCUGCACUUGAAAUAUGUAAACAAGCAAAUCAUGUGGGACUACAUGAUAUUGUAGCAGCAGUAAAAAUAUUUUUGUUUCGUCUGGCGGUCAAGGUUUUAAAACGUUACAAUGAUUCUUUUGGCUGAACGAAGCAAGAAAUAAGAAGAAAAGAGAAGGAAACACAGGAAGAGAAGAGGUGAAAGAGUUGAUAAAAGAAGUGGUGUAAUAAGUAUGAAAGAGAAGCUUGAACUAAGUUAAUGAGAAUGGAAGGAAGGAAAGCUAAGUCUGGAUAGAAGGGUACGGGAGCUGGAGAAGGCAGAGGAACGCAGAAAUAAACAGGAAAAAGAGAAUAACGUAAUGUAGUAACUGAUGGAUUCUUAGAGUAAGGACAAGUAAUGAUGGUAGGUUCAAAGUUUAAUGUAUUUUAAUAAGUGAUAUUCGAUAACAAAAGGACCGACCGCAAUAUCGUCGCACGCCGACUCACACUCCGUAUCCGCUCAACUCGCACUCUGCUUCUCGACUGACUCUCUGGCCGUUGUAGCAUUCUAUUGUCUUUUGCUAGGCCCACCGCACACGUGUUCUGCAGACGCUAUUUAUUCGAAGGACUCGGUAAUGCAUUGAUGGAGCCGACAGCGCCUCGGCUCUCGCGACAUUGUCUGUAGUUAGCUCGACGUUUCUUAGGUCCUUCUCCCCGAUACUACAGUAAUGAUUAAAGAUCUUUGAAUAAAUAGGUAAUUAGAAGAGGAGGUUGCAGGAUUUAUAAAGAAGAACGUGGAAACUGAGAUGGAAAUAAAAAUAUUACCGCAGAUUAAGAGCAAAAGGAAUAUUAGUACGACAAAAGUAAGAUUGGCUGGCAUAGAAGACAAGAAAAUAAUAAUGAGGAACAAGGAAAAAUUAAAAGUUAAGGACUAUAUAUAUACAACGAUAUUAUAUAUAUAUAUAUAUAUAUAUAUAUAUAUAUAUAUACUAUAGGACUAUAUGUAUAACGACGAUAGAGUGUGUAAUACAGAGAGAAAUAAGCAAGACAGCAGCAAUAGGGAAGGUAAAAGUUAAUGGAAAUAAGAUGUAAGAAGCUAUUUAGAAAUGGAAACAAAUAUAUAUAUAUAGAGAGAGAGAGAGAGAGUGAGAGAGAGAGAGAGAGAGAGAGAGAAAGGCGUUUGAUCUUAGUAAGAGAGGGUCAUUUCUUGAGAAACCAGCCGACAAAAAUUAACAGGGUAUUCGAAGAAUUACAAAUACGCAGAGAGCAAGGGAUGAAGAGAUCAUUUAAAAGGAGGAGGUUUAAUGGUAGAAUGUGCAUUAUUUAUGAUAUUAAGGAAAUUAAAAAGAAAGAGAAGGUGAAAGAAACGGAAAUAAUAAGAGAAUGUGAAACAUGGUUUCGCGCCCGAAAUAGUAUGAAAAAUAAGAAUUAUGAUAUUAGCGAUAUACACGUUAAGGAAGAGAGAAUGUAACUGACUCAAAGAGUUUUUAGUAAAGACUAUAAGCACAGAUGUUGAGACUCGUUUAGUUGAAUAGCAUGCCAAAGAAAAGUAAACGAAGACGAAUCUGAGAAGCAGGGUUAAAUAGAAUUACAGUUUAUCUAUAAUAUAAAUAGAAUAGCGUGUGUACAAAUGUAUACUAUGUAUAUACUAUCUGUAUGACAAAUACUACCAAAUCAGCGAUAGUAAGAUAGAAAUAAGUACAAAUUAUAAGUAAAUAAUAAUAAUCGAUAUGAUAUAGAAUAAGAAUGAUUAUUUAAAAAAAUGAAAUGUAAUGGACGAUUGCCCAACACAAUAAACGAAUACACUAUAUGUAUACACACAGUCUAUUAGCGGUAGAGUGUAUUAUUAAAUGUAUAACUUUUUAUCAUUUCUAAUUUAAAAAAUAUGUAACGUUCUAUCGGUGUUCUGCCCAUUACGGAUAGUUGAACCUUCUUCGAAGGAACGAUCUGCUCCAGCGGUCCUUGACGGUCCUGUAUUCCGUGGAACCUCGGAGGGCCUCAAAGUCCGUAUUGCAUAUACACGCAAGUUAUUAUUAUAUACGAAUAAAAAAUAUAUAGCAUGUA